UAUGUAUCAUAUACUCUGAAUGUGUCAUAGAAUGUUCAUGUUGCCUUAAAACGCAAUCAAAUACAACUUUCAACAACGGAUCUCUUGGCUCUCGCAUCGAUGAAGAACGCAGCGAAAUGCGAUAAGUAAUGUGAAUUGCAGAUUUUCAGUGAAUCAUCGAAUCUUUGAACGCACCUUGCGCUCCUUGGUAUUCCGAGGAGCAUGCCUGUUUGAGUGUCAUUAAAUUCUCAACCCCACCGAUUUGCUUCGGGGGGAUUGGACUUGGAGCGUGCUGGCGAAGGUCGGCUCCUCUUUAAAUGCAUCAGUGGAGAGAAACUUGCCCCAGUGUGAUAAUCCUGUUGCGCUGUGGUGGGUGAAAGUCUGCUUCCAACCGUCCCUCCGGGGACAUAUGUCAUCUUAUUUUGACCUCACAUCAGGUAGGACUACCCGCUGAACUUAA
rnacentral:sRNA from 1 species